rnacentral:lncRNA from 1 species
UUUUUUUUUUCCCCAAAUCUUUUUUCGGACUCUCCAAAGUAAAAUUUUAACCCAAAUCCCAAAACAAGAGAAAGAAAUUUUUUUUAAAAAAAAAAACUUAGUAAACUCUGUUACUCUGUGUAUACUACUCAUACAUAUUUAUUGAUCCCUUAAAUUAUUAUUUAUUUGUUUUUUCUUGUCAUGGUUGUAUUCACUCUUUUGAAUACAUUCUUGUUCUUUCAAAUAUAAGCUGAAAAAGAUCCUUUUUUUUUUUGUUGCUUCACUCGUUUUCCUCUAAAUAUUCCGAACUUUAAUUGGUGCAUGUGCGAGUUAUAUAGAGAGUGAAAAAUGGCAAGUGCAUCUGGGCUGUUUACACCUUCAGUUCCAAGCUUGAGGAGGAGGGUUCAGCCUUCAACAUGGAUAUAUCGAUCUGGGUUUUGCUUCUCUCAGGGAACCUUUAGGAGGGUACUGUGCUCCAGCACCAUUGCUGGUUCUGAGAAGAGUUUGUCUUCUUCCGAAUCUAGAGCACCCAGGUGAUUUUUUGUUUUCCCCCCGUUUGUUUCUCUAUGUGAUUCAUUGCUUCUUUCUUUCUGCUUUGGUAGUCAAAAUGGGUGUUCAAUGCUAGUAGAUUCGUUUUUGUUUAGUUUUUAGCUGGUGAAAGGUGGUUGUUUAAUGGGCUUUGGACCUCGUUGCUUAUAAAGGUUUGUUAUAUUGUUGAAUGAAGUAGAAAUUUUAUUGCUGUAGAUUUUUUUUUUUUUU